rnacentral:rRNA from 1 species
UACGUAGGUGGCAAGCGUUGUCCGGAUUUAUUGGGCGUAAAGGGCGCGCAGGUGGUUCGUUAAGUCCGAGGUGAAAUCUCCCGGCUCAACUGGGAGGGGUCUUCGGAUACUGGCGGACUUGAGGAGAGCAGAGGUGAGCGGAAUUCUCGGUGUAGUGGUGAAAUGCGUAGAUAUCGAGAGGAACACCAGCGGCGAAGGCGGCUCACUGGGCUCCACCUGACACUGAGGCGCGAAAGCGUGGGGAGCAAACCGGAUUAGAAACCCCAGUAGUCC